GAGGUAGUCACGUACACUGCUGCUCUAUGUGUUUGGACUUCUGGUGAGAUUUUGGGCUCCUUAGCUAGGGCUAUUAUGCUAUUGUCUUUGCAGUACUAUGUCAGGGCAUGAUAUCCAGUUCUAUAACUAACAUUAGAGCCAGAAUUCAUCCUACAUAUCUACAGCAUGCUAAGCCUCCAUUGUUCGAUUACUUAGAACCCUUUC
rnacentral:lncRNA from 1 species